ACGAGUGUGACUCAGCCCACCAUCAUUGUGACCAGACGUGUCUGAACACUAUUGGCAGCUUCUCAUGCGGAUGUGACAGCGGUUUUCUUCUCAACGCCGAUGGGAAGACUUGUUCAGAUAUAAACGAGUGUGACGAAGCCCAGCAUAACUGUGAACAGACGUGUCUGAACAUUGUUGGCGGUUUCACAUGCGGAUGUACCAGUGGAUUUCGUCUUAACGACGAUGGGAAGACUUGCUCAGACAUCGAUGAAUGCCAGACAAACGGAGGAAAAGGACCAUGUGACCAAAUAUGUCUCAAUGAGCACGGCAGCUACCACUGCUCCUGCCAGACGGGAUAUCAGCUCGACACAGACAACGUCUCGUGUACUGGUA